rnacentral:rRNA from 1 species
UACGUAGGGGGCAAGCGUUGUCCGGAAUCAUUGGGCGUAAAGCGCGCGUAGGCGGCUCGGUAAGUCCGUUGUGAAAGUCAAAGGCUCAACCUUUGAAUGCCGAUGGAUACUGUCGAGCUAGAGUCCGGAAGAGGCGAGUGGAAUUCCUGGUGUAGCGGUGAAAUGCGCAGAUAUCAGGAGGAACACCAAUGGCGAAGGCAGCUCGCUGGGACGUGACUGACGCUGAGACGCGAAAGCGUGGGGAGCAAACAGG